UUCUCCCUAAAAUGCGUUGAGGCGUAGCAGUUGACUGGACAUAUAGGGGUAAAUUGAGGCAAACUCUAAAUACUAGAUAUGACCUCAAAAUAACAAGAGUCGAGGUCGACCAGUGAGACGAUGGGGGAUAAGCUUCAUCGUCGAGAGGGAAACAGCCCGGAUCACGAGCUAAGGCUCCUAAAUGACCGCUCAGUGAUAAAAGAGGUAGGGGUGCAGAGACAGCCAAGAGGAUUCCCUAGAAGCAGCCACCCUUAAAGGAGUGCAUAAUAGCUCACUGAUCGAGCACUCUUGUGCCAAAGAUGAAUAGGGCUAAGCGAUCUACCGAAGCUAUGGGAUGUAAAAAUGCAUCGGUAGGGGAGCGUUCCCCUUAAGGGGAAGCACCUGCGUGAGCGGGAGUAAACGAAUCGGAAGUG
rnacentral:ncRNA from 1 species